rnacentral:rRNA from 1 species
CAGCAGCCGCCGCGGUAAUACGAAGGGUGCAAGCGUUAAUCGGAAUUACUGGGCGUAAAGCGUGCGUAGGCGGUGAGUUAAGUCUGCUGUGAAAUCCCCGGGCUCAACCUGGGAAUGGCAGUGGAUACUGGCUCGCUAGAGUGUGUCAGAGGAUGGUGGAAUUCCCGGUGUAGCGGUGAAAUGCGUAGAGAUCUGGAGGAAUACCGAUGGCGAAGGCAGCCAUCUGGCCUAAUACUGACGCUGAGGUACGAAAGCAUGGGGAGCAAACAGGAUUAGAUACCCCCGUAGUCCCUGUCUCUUAUAC